AGCGGAGGAAAAGAAACUAACAAGGAUUCCCCUAGUAACGGCGAGUGAAGAGGGAAGAGCCCAAGAUUGAAAGCUGGCGUCUUCGGCGUCCGCAUUGUAAUCUCAAGAAGUGUUUUCCGCUUCGGACCAAGCCUAAGUCCCUUGGAAAAGGGCAUCAUAGAGGGUGAUAAUCCCGUACAUGGCUUGGAGCGCCCGAGGCUUUGUGAUACGCUUUCUAAGAGUCGAGUUGUUUGGGAAUGCAGCUCAAAAUGGGUGGUAAAUGCCAUCUAAGGCUAAAUAUUGGGGAGAGACCGAUAGCGAACAAGUACAGUGAUGGAAAGAUGAAAAGAACUUUGAAAAGAGAGUUAAACAGUACGUGAAAUUGCCAAAAGGGAAGGGUAGGAGGUCAGAGAUGCGGCCUGGGAUUCAGCCUUGCUUUUGCUUGGUGUUUUUCCCAGAUUGCAGGCCAACGUCGGUUUUGGGCACUGGAGAAGGGUAGGAGGAACGUGGCACCCCUCGGGGUGUGUUAUAGCCUCCUACUGGAUACAGCGACCGAGACCGAGGACAGCAGCGUACUCGUAAGAGCGGGCCCUCGGGCACCUUUACGCUUAGGGCGUUGGCAUAAUGGCCCUCUACCACCCGUCUUGA
rnacentral:rRNA from 1 species